AUGCUCCCUUCAGCAGCACGUAUACUAGAAUUGGAAAGAUACAAGUAAGAUUAGUAUGGGCCCAGCGCAAAGAUGACACACAGAUUCGUGAAGCAUUCCGUAUUUUU
ensembl:snRNA LOC120100182 U6 spliceosomal RNA